rnacentral:rRNA from 1 species
CCCUUAGAUGUUCGGGGCCGCACGCGCGCUACACUGAAGGAAUCAGCACGUCUUUCUCCUUGUCCGAAAGGACUGGGUAACCCGCUGAACCUCCUUCGUGCUAGGGAUUGGGGCUUGUAAUUCUUCCCCAUGAACGAGGAAUUCCCAGUAAGCGCGAGUCAUAAGCCCGCGUUGAUUACGUCCCUGCCCUUUGUACACACCGCCCGUCGCUACUACCGAUUGGAUGGUUUAGUGAGAUCCUCGGAUUGGUCCCGGCGCGGCCUCUGGUCGUGCCGGAGUGCCGAAAAGAAUGUCGAACUUGAUCAUCUAGAGGAAGUAAAAGUCGUAACA